rnacentral:rRNA from 1 species
ACGCUGGCGGCAGGCCUAACACAUGCAAGUCGAGCGGUAGAGAGAAGCUUGCUUCUCUUGAGAGCGGCGGACGGGUGAGUAAUGCCUAGGAAUCUGCCUGGUAGUGGGGGAUAACGUUCGGAAACGGACGCUAAUACCGCAUACGUCCUACGGGAGAAAGCAGGGGACCUUCGGGCCUUGCGCUAUCAGAUGAGCCUAGGUCGGAUUAGCUAGUUGGUGAGGUAAUGGCUCACCAAGGCGACGAUCCGUAACUGGUCUGAGAGGAUGAUCAGUCACACUGGAACUGAGACACGGUCCAGACUCCUACGGGAGGCAGCAGUGGGGAAUAUCGGACAAUGGGCGAAAGCCUGAUCCAGCCAUGCCGCGUGUGUGAAGAAGGUCUUCGGAUUGUAAAGCACUUUAAGUUGGGGGGAAGGGCAUUAACCUAAUACGUUAGUGUUUUGACGUUACCGACAGAAUAAGCACCGGCUAACUCUGUGCCAGCAGCCGCGGUAAUACAGAGGGUGCAAGCGUUAAUCGGAAUUACUGGGCGUAAAGCGCGCGUAGGUGGUUUGUUAAGUUGGAUGUGAAAUCCCCGGGCUCAACCUGGGAACUGCAUUCAAAACUGACUGACUAGAGUAUGGUAGAGGGGUGGGUGGAAUUUCCUGUGUAGCGGUGAAAUG